AACCCAUGUUGAGGACAUUUUAGUAGGAGUUCCUUGAACCUUUCCCAUUCCUCGAAUAGAGACUCCAAUUCUACUUACACAAAGGAUGAGAUCUCAUUCCUAUGCUU